rnacentral:tRNA from 1 species
GAUGCAAUGGCCGAGUGGUCUAAGGCGUUGGAAUUAGGAUCCAUUCCGAAAGGGCGCGGGUUCGAAUCCCGUUUGCAUCAC